rnacentral:rRNA from 1 species
UUGAACGCUGGCGGCAGGCCUAACACAUGCAAGUCGAGCGGAUGAAGGGAGCUUGCUCCUGGAUUCAGCGGCGGACGGGUGAGUAGUGCCUAGGAAUCUGCCUGGUAGUGGGGGAUAACGUCCGGAAACGGGCGCUAAUACCGCAUACGUCCUGAGGGAGAAAGUGGGGGAUCUUCGGACCUCACGCUGUCAGAUGAGCCUAGGUCGGAUUAGCUAGUUGGUGGGGUAAAGGCCUACCAAGGCGACGAUCCGUAACUGGUCUGAGAGGAUGAUCAGUCACACUGGAACUGAGACACGGUCCAGACUCCUACGGGAGGCAGCAGUGGGGAAUAUUGGACAAUGGGCGAAAGCCUGAUCCAGCCAUGCCGCGUGUGUGAAGAAGGUCUUCGGAUUGUAAAGCACUUUAAGUUGGGAGGAAGGGCAGUAAGUUAAUACCUUGCUGUUUUGACGUUACCAACAGAAUAAGCACCGGCUAACUUCGUG